rnacentral:lncRNA from 1 species
UUUUGAAACAGAUUCUUGUUCUAGGCCCUUAGUAUCCAGGUAUCAUAGGCUUUUGUCACACCCGGUUUUAAAACAAAACCAAGUGCUACCUAUAUGUAUGCCAGGAUCAAGUUUCAUACAUAUACUGACAUCAUCAGUGAAUAACAGCAACAGUAUCACAUAAAAGAUACAAGUAAGACUUACGACAUUAUCAGAGAUACACAGCUUAAACACGGAAUCGGAGGUUCCAAACUUCACAGGCAAACGACUGGGGGUUGCGUACGCCUAGAACUCAGCAUCAUCUUCACAACUUCACACACCUUCUUCUUCUGAGCAGCGAUAAGCAAGGGUGAGUACACUUAUGGUUGGUACUCAGCAAGGCCACAAGAAAUAACCAGAAUAGUGAUUUAACUCCAUCUUCAAGUAUAUUAAUCAUGUGAGGGUCUAGGCCGCUCUUGACCGUGAGCACGGCUGUUAUAACAGUUUUACACUCUGCAGAGGUUGUACAUCUUUACCCACAAGUCGCGUAAAAGUUCAGAAGAACUUUAGACCCAACCAUGCUGUGUAAAAGUAGGCACAAUACCAUACUUCCGAGGUGUGGUUGCAUAGGGACGCUACGAGGCCUUUACAAAGAUUCACUAGUAAGUGGUAACCCGCUAAGAUUUCAGGUCGAAGCAGAGCAUAACAGUCCCCUAGUGAGUUCAGUAUCUUAGCAAAGCCCACGUCCCAAGAGAGCGAGUGCUAUACCCCAUCAACGCCUCCCCUCUUGCCCUUUCGGUAAGAUUACCCCAGACUAGGGUUUCUAAUUAUUCAGCCAAGACCAGAGCCAUUUAGUCUUGUGGUAGCACUGUUUUCCUGGGUGGUCGCUCCAUGUUCCAAUUAAUGCAAGAUAUUCUUGUAAAUAAGCAUAGAUAGAAGGAUGGUUAGGGACACUUGCCUUUCUCCAACGAAAAGUUACUCUCACUGCUCUUCGGCUCCUGCUCUCUUGAAACUCUUAACCUUCAAAUCUUCCGUGCAGCGAUCCUUCUACUCGAAGCAAUCACCGGCACAAACAUACAAGCAAACAAACAAGUACAACUAAGAACAAUACACCAAACAAAAGAAAGCUUUAAAAGAGCGUACUAAAGAAUAGGGUGCAAUUCUAGGAUUACGUGAACGUAGGAAACACUGAAACGGAUCUAUGGUUGAAAAGAUAGAGCUAUCGAGUGAUUUGAAUUAUAAAAGAAAAGACAAGAGCUACAAGCUUCAUUUAUUUUAGUUGAGAAAAAUAAUAUAAAGAUAUUUCAGAGAAAUAUCCUUAGUUAGAAUUAAUCAAGUCAUAUUUAUAUUUUCAUAAGAAAAGAAGGUGUAAAUCUUAGUCCAAUUUUAUUUAUAAAUAUUUAUGUACAAGUUAUACAAAUUAAACAUUUAAUUUGAAAAUAAAGUAUAUGAACGUCUAAGCGCAUAACUUUAUGAUUUGGAUUGAACUAACCAAAUUAUAAUUUAAAAACAUAUUUAUAUCCAUAUUAGCCAAAUUAACAUUUAAUUAUGAAAAAUCGAGAUAUAACCUAUGCAACUUUUAUUUAGAAAAUGAAUUGGAUAAAUAUUAAUCAAAUUGAGUUUAAUUUAUGAAAAACCGAGGUAUAACUCUAAUUGACUUUUAAUUAGAAAAUGAUAUGAAGUAGGCAUUAGUCAAAUUGAUGUUUAUUAUGAAAACGGUGUAGAUCACUAAACAGAUUUUAUUUAGAGAAGAACGCGUUUAUUAGGCAUUAAUCAAUUUUAAUAUAAAAUUUAUUUUUAAAAAUAUGCGUGAAAACAUUACUACUAACAUGUAAUUUACGUUAUUAUGAACCUAACGCAACUUGAACGAAUAAAAACGGAGUUAAAACGUGGAUUCUACGAGGUACAGAAGGUUGCAGGGCCCUAGUCAUAAUUAACUAUAUACGUCAGGGGCUAGCAAGGAAGAUUGGCAAGACACAUGUAAUAGCGCUUGAGAUUUGGACAAAGCUCAGGGUUAGAUCUAGAAAAGUGUGAGUCCCGGCUUAGAUUGAAAGAAACCCGAAAGAUUGAGGGUUUUUCUGCAAAGUUGCAAAGACACAAGGAAAAGAUUACUAAUUACAGAUUCUUUCGGAGAUCCAUUUGUAAAAUGGCUUAUCUCCUUCCUUGCGGACGGGGCAUCUUUGGCCAGACAACUACCGGCAGCGACGGCCGAGGAAACGCAGGCGAGCGUGGCCGGCCCGAUGCUAGCUUCUGGCGCGUGCGGAACGGCCAAGGCAGGAGCACCGCACGGCAACGGGGCCGGCAGGCGGCGGUGCGGCCGGCUUCCAGGCAAGGACGGCGGCGGCGCACGGUACUGCGUCCCGGGGUGCCUCGGCAGCGGCGCAAACGGCGCGCAGCAGGGCGUCUCGGCGGCGCGGGUGGUAACGGCGGCGGCGGGCAGGAGCAGGCGGCGCGUGCGGCUCGGGAGGCGAGGCGAGGCCCUAGGCGGCGGCGGCUCUCAGGGGCACGGCCAGGCCAUGGCCGGGUGGAUGAACAGGAACGGACCGAAUACAGGGGAAAAAAAAGAUUCUGCCGAUAACGUCCCCUAGUCUUGCGAUUGAACGGCAAAGUCUUGCGAUUGAACGGCAAAACGGAACAGGGGCGACGAGAUGAACGCGUUGAUGUGCUCACCUUCGACCGGGGAUGAACGAUGGUGGCGGAAAAGCUUGCCGGAGUUCGAGAAAAGCUCGUCGGAGUUGAGGAAGACGACGGAGCCGACACCGGACUCGCGCAAUCCACCACAUCACGGUGUAGAGCUUGAAGAGAGGAACUCCGUGGUGGUGUCGAUGGAGCUCGGAGAGUCAACUCGCGAAAAUGUUUUUAGAUAAUCCUCACGUCGAAUGAACGCGGUGAUAUGUAUAUAGGCU